ACGGAGGAUCCAAGCGUUAUCCGGAAUUAUUGGGUUUAAAGGGUCCGUAGGUGGACAAUUAAGUCAGAGGUGAAAUCCUGCAGCUCAACUGUAGAAUUGCCUUUGAAACUGGUUGUCUUGAGUCAUUAUGAAGUGGUUAGAAUGUGUAGUGUAGCGGUGAAAUGCAUAGAUAUUACACAGAAUACCAAUUGCGAAGGCAGAUCACUAAUAAUGUACUGACACUGAUGGACGAAAGCGUGGGUAGCGAACAGG
rnacentral:rRNA from 1 species